rnacentral:lncRNA from 1 species
UCAAUCCCGCCUAUAUAUAAUUUGGGUUUAGUGAGUUUAUAUUUAAUUAUUGUUCAUUAUACUUUAGCUACAAAAGAAUUGCUAAAUACACAGCUCAAACUGCGCAUUUGAUCUUAUAUAGUUUUGACCCAAAACAUUUUGGAUUAGAUGUAGGUCAUGCUUGACCCCAAUGCACCCACUAGGUCUAAAAUUCUUUUCAUGGCCCCA